ACCAGCUCAGUUGGUUAGAGUGUGGUGUUACUGGAGCUAAUAACACCAAGGUUGCAGGUUCGAUCCCUGUAUGGGACA